rnacentral:rRNA from 1 species
CCUACGGGAGGCAGCAGUGAGGAAUAUUGGUCAAUGGACGAGAGUCUGAACCAGCCAAGUAGCGUGAAGGAUGACUGCCCUAUGGGUUGUAAACUUCUUUUAUAUGGGAAUAAAACGUUCCACGUGUGGGAUUUUGUAUGUACCAUAUGAAUAAGGAUAGGCUAACUCCGUGCCAGCAGCCGCGGUAAUACGGAGGAUCCGAGCGUUAUCCGGAUUUAUUGGGUUUAAAGGGAGCGUAGGUGGAUUGUUAAGUCAGUUGUGAAAGUUUGCGGCUCAACCGUAAAAUUGCAGUUGAUACUGGCAGUCUUGAGUACAGUAGAGGUGGGCGGAAUUCGUGGUGUAGCGGUGAAAUGCUUAGAUAUCACGAAGAACUCCGAUUGCGAAGGCAGUUCACUGGACUGCAACUGACACUGAGGCUCGAAAGUGUGGGUAUCAAACAGGAUUAGAUACCCGGGUAGUC